rnacentral:rRNA from 1 species
AGAGUUUGAUCAUGGCUCAGAAUGAACGCUGGCGGCGUUAACACAUGCAAGUCGCACGAGAACGCUUCAGCUUGCUGAAGCUAGUAAAGUGGCGUACGGGUGAGUAACGCGUGGGUAAUCUAUCUCUGAAUUGGGGAUAACAUUGCGAAAGCGAUGCUAAUACCGGAUAACAUCCAUUAAACCUCGGUUUUUUGGAUCAAAGGUGGCCUCUACAUGUAAGCUACUGUUUGGAGACGAGCCCGCGUACCAUUAGCUUGUUGGUAGGGUAACGGCUUACCAAGGCAACGAUGGUUAGCUGGUCUGAGAGGAUGAUCAGCCACACUGGAACUGACACACGGUCCAGACUCCUACGGGAGGCAGCAGUGAGGAAUUUUGCGCAAUGGGGGAAACCCUGACGCAGCAACGCCGCGUGAGUGAUGAAGGCUUUCGGGUCGUAAAGCUCUGUCAAGUGGGAAGAACCCGCGCCGCACAAAUAGUGCGGUGCGCUGACGGUACCACUGAAGGAAGCACCGGCUAACUCCGUGCCAGCAGCCGCGGUAAUACGGGGGGUGCAAGCGUUAUUCGGAAUCAUUGGGCGUAAAGAGCGCGUAGGCGGUCUUCUAUGUCAGGUGUGAAAGCCCGGGGCUCAACCCCGGAAGUGCACUUGAAACUGGGAGACUUGAGUAUGGGAGAGGGAAGUGGAAUUCCUGGUGUAGCGGUGAAAUGCGUAGAUAUCAGGAGGAACACCGGUGGCGAAGGCGACUUCCUGGACCAAUACUGACGCUGAGGCGCGAAGGCGUGGGGAGCAAACAGGAUUAGAUACCCUAGUAGUCC